CGAACGGAAAGGCCCUGCUUGCAGGGUACUCGAGUGGCGAACGGGUGAGUAACACGUGGGUGAUCUGCCCUGCACUUCGGGAUAAGCCUGGGAAACUGGGUCUAAUACCGGAUAGGAGCCAUUUUUAGUGUGAUGGUUGGAAAGUUUUUUCGGUGUAGGAUGAGCUCGCGGCCUAUCAGCUUGUUGGUGGGGUAAUGGCCUACCAAGGCGGCGACGGGUAGCCGGCCUGAGAGGGUGGACGGCCACAUUGGGACUGAGAUACGGCCCAGACUCCUACGGGAGGCAGCAGUGGGGAAUAUUGCACAAUGGGCGCAAGCCUGAUGCAGCGACGCCGCGUGGGGGAUGACGGCCUUCGGGUUGUAAACUCCUUUCGCUAGGGACGACGCUUUUUGUGACGGUACCUAGAUAAGAAGCACCGGCUAACUACGUGCCAGCAGCCGCGGUAAUACGUAGGGUGCGAGCGUUGUCCGGAAUUACUGGGCGUAAAGGGCUCGUAGGUGGUUUGUCGCGUCGUCUGUGAAAUUCCGGGGCUUAACUCCGGGCGUGCAGGCGAUACGGGCAUAACUUGAGUACUGUAGGGGUAACUGGAAUUCCUGGUGUAGCGGUGAAAUGCGCAGAUAUCAGGAGGAACACCGAUGGCGAAGGCAGGUUACUGGGCA
rnacentral:rRNA from 1 species